UGGGACCCGUCUUGAAANNNCGNNNCAAGGAGUCUAGCAUGUGCGCGAGUCAUUGGGACUAGCGAAACCUAAAGGCGUAAUGAAAGUGAAGGUCGGCCUCGCGCCGACCGAGGGAGGAUKGNCCGCGUCACGACGCGGCCCCGCACUCCCGGGGCGUCUCGUUCUCAUCGCGAGAAGAGGCGCACCCAGAGCGUACACGCUGGGACCCGAAAGAUGGUGAACUAUGCCUGGUCAGGACGAAGUCAGGGGAAACCCUGAUGGAGGUCCGAAGCGAUUCUGACGUGCAAAUCGAUCGUCGGAACUGGGUAUAGGGGCGAAAGACUAAUCGAACCAUCUAGUAGCUGGUUCCCUCCGAAGUUUCCCUCAGGAUAGCUGGCGCUCGCUUUUGCGAGUCUCAUCUGGUAAAGCGAAUGAUUAGAGGCAUUGGGGUCGAAACGGCCUCAACCUAUUCUCAAACUUUAAAUGGGUGAGAUCUCCGGCUUGCUUGAAUAGUGAAGCCGCGAGAUCGGAUCAGAGUGCCAAGUGGGCCAUUUUUGGUAAGCAGAACUGGCGCUGUGGGAUGAACCAAACGCAGAGUUAAAGCUCCUAAAUCUACGCUUAUGGGAUACCAUGAAAGGCGUUGGUAACUUAAGACAGUAGGACGGUGGCCAUNGGAAANUCGGAAUCCGCUAAAGGAGUGUGNNAAAA
rnacentral:rRNA from 1 species